AGGACAGGAAGGAAGCAGCCCGCAUCAAG
rnacentral:SRP_RNA from 1 species